GUGGGUAUUGCUCAGUAGUAGAGCACAUGCUUAACAUGCAUGAGGUCCAGGGUUCAAUUCCCAGUACCUCCA
rfam:Camelus ferus unplaced genomic scaffold scaffold726, whole genome shotgun sequence.